GAUAUAUUUAGGGUGUACGAUUUGAUGAUGUGAUAUAUAUGUACUUUGUGAAAUAAUUACCACCAUCAGGCUGAUUGACAUGUCACCUCGUUACCGUUUCCUCUGUGUGUGUGUGUGUGUGUGUGUGUGUGUGUGUGUGUGUGUGUGAAGAACACAAGCUCUGCAUUUAAGGGUACAAGAGAGCUUUUCCUUACAGUCACCAUGCUGCCCAUCCGAUCUCCAGAAUGUACUGAUCUUGUGCAAUGAACUUGGCAUCCCUUAACUUGGCAUCCCUUCCCUCCCUCCCGCCACACCCCAGACCCCUGGCAACCACCCUUCUGCCUCUUCUUUUCGAUCCCACAUUUAAGUGAGACCACACACAAUUUGUCUUUGGCUCAUCUCACGUAGCAUAAUGUCCUCUGCAGCAUCCUAAUUGUCCGUGGCAUCAUCCAGCUUGACUCGAAUGGCAGGAGCUCCUUCUUUUUAAGGAUUAUAUUAGGAUCAGUAUCUUUUUUCCUGGACCUUAACCUUUCAGGAAACUAAACUUAAGGAGAAUUAGGGUCAGAGGUAAUUUUUCCCUCUGUGUGUGUGUGUGAGUGUGUGUGUGUGUGUGUGUGUGUGUGUGUUUAAACAGGCUCUGAGUCAUGAAAUCCUUGCCUAGCUUUUAUCAGGGAUCGGAAGCGGAGAUCCAGGGGGGACAUCACUGUCGUCAGAGAGAUUAUCAACCUUCCAUGGGAUUCUUAACCAUUGCUGGGCACCAAGCAAAGGUUUUUAAAACAGCCUUUCCUCAGACGGUGCUUGAUAGUGGAAGGCGGGGAUGUCGUUCUUCCUCUGGGGAAGCCUUGGGACAGAAAGAAGCAACUCCUCACCCCACCCUCUCUGCGGGGCCAGCAAGGAAACACCGCCCAGGAGCUCCGUGCGUGGAGCUGGACGGGAGAGGCUCGGAGCUGGGUUUCCUCUUAGAGGAGAAGCAACCCCCCUUCAUUCUUGGGAGGACUCGGGUGCCUGUGGUGAGCAGCAGCCACUGCUCAGUCCUGGGAAACAGAGGAGGGGAUGAGCGGAUGGGGGGAACUGCUCCAACAUCCCAAUAAGUAAAAGCUGCGCAGAUUCCAUAGGAAGAGCCAAGCGAGGCAAGGCGUCCGGGACACAGACGACGACAUACCGCCGUGAACUCACUUCGCCCUGAGCGAAGACCUGGCGGAACUACUUCUCUCAAUAUCAGGUGUCUGUUCCUUGUCACUUCCUCCAUCCCGCUGCUCAGCCUAACCUGUUCCCCCUCCAGAAAACUAAGCCAAACAACGAGCCAACAAAGCCCCCUGCCCUCUGGAGGGGCUGCUCGGUUCCUUUGGGGGCAGAGCGCGAUUACCAAAGGGCAGGACACAGGAGUCCUGAUGCCCACCAGAGGAGGCCGAGCCGAGGGAAGGUGAACCAAGAGGAUGCUUUAUUUUUCUGCUGCAUUUUUCACAAGGAGGAUGUCCUGUAAGAGGCAGGUGGAAUUAUAACUAGAUUCCAGGCAGCAGAUUGGGGAGCUGUCAGGGACGCUGGCUAGGAGCUUGUGUCCCCCCAGAUUCCUAUGUUGAAGCCCUAAUCCCCAGUGUGACUGAAUAUGGAGCUGAGGCCUUUAGGGAGGUGAUGCAGGUUGAACAGGUCAUGAAGGUGGGGCCCUGAUGCAACAGGACUGGUGUCCUUAUAAGAGACACCAGGGAGUUCCUAUCUUGGCUCCACAAAAAUGAAUCUGACUAGUAUCCAUGAGGACAAAAGUUUGAUCCCUGGCCUUGCUCAGUGGGUUAAGGAUCCAGCGUGGCCGUGAGCUGUGGUGUAGGUUGGUGGCCACAGCUCCGUGGGAACAGCUCUGAUUAAACCCCCUAGCCUGGGAACCUCCAUAGGCUGCAUGUGUGGCCCUAAAAGGACAAAAGACAAAAAUAAAUAAAUAAAAAUAAAAAUAAAAAAUAAAGUG
rnacentral:lncRNA from 1 species